AUGGCCCUUGAGCUCCUCGUGCCAACAGUUGCCGCUGUCCCAGUAGCCUUGCCUGGCUGCCCGGAGGCCUGCGGCUCCGUCACCGUCCCCUACCCUUUCGGCUUCCGGCCAGGAUGUUUCCACAAGGGCUUCAACCUCACCUGCGACGAGACGCGCCAUCCGCCCAAGCUGUUCCUAAGCGACGACGUGGAAGUGGACGCCAUCUCACUGGCAAACAGCACGGUGCGUGUCCAGAGCAAGAUGGUCAAGAACAUCAACGGCUCGUGGUCCGCCGGCGUAAAGGAUGGCAGCGUACUCGCGAUGUCACCGGAGCACAACUUCUUCGUGGUAAUCGGCUGCGACCUCAUCGCCUCCCUCAUUGACGGUCCUCAGAAUGCCAGCUACGUCAGCGUAAGCGCCACGCGGUGUGACAAUUCGAGUGCGCCAGAUCUAAGUGAUACCUCGUGCUCGGGCGUCGGCUGCUGCCGGACGACCAUCGCCUGGGGUUUGCCCACGUACGAGGUGCAAGUCAAGGAUUUGGACCAGCAGGUGGAUGAUACCACUCCCACAUAUGGGGGCGCGUUCAUUGUCGACCGCGAGUGGUUCAGCGGGACAAACGUAGGCGCCAUGCAAAAUAGCACUUUCGCUCAUACCAAGGUGACCAAGGUACCCACCGUGUUGCAAUGGUGGCUUGAUCUGGAACGCGACUAUGGCUUGGUCGUCUCGGAUUUCUCUUCUCCAUCUGGUUGGAGAUGCAUCAGCCUCAACAGCUUUGCUUUCAUCGUUGCCGUUAGCGCAGGCAGCGGCGCACCACCCUCAUACCCAGUAAGGUGCAACUGCUCGGAUGGAUACGAAGGCAACCCUUAUAUCCUGCAUGGGUGCCAAGAUAUCGACGAGUGCAAGCAACCAGUUCAUCCAUGCAUGCAUGGGCGCUGCAUUAAUAUGCCAGGGACAUACCGAUGCUCCGCGAUCAUCAGUCUCCCAGGUUUAAUUACGGUAAUUUCAAUUACUGUUGGUCUUGCGUUACUCUCUUCACUUCUGGGUGUUGCCAAAAUCAGCAAUAAACUCAAGCAACGGAGAGCUAAGAAGUUGAGACAUAAGUUCUUCAUGAGAAACCAUGGGUUGCUUCUGCAACAGUCAAUCUCUUCAAGCAAAGAUAUAGCCGAAAGAACAAGAAUUUUUUGUUUGGAAGAGCUGGAGCAAUCAACCAACAACUUUGACCAGAACCGCAUCCUUGGCGGCGGUGGCCAUGGAACAGUGUACAAAGGAAUCUUAUCUGAUCAACAUAUUGUGGCCAUCAAGAAGGCUAAAAUUGUCGUUCAAAGGGAAAUCAACCAGUUUAUCAAUGAGGUUGUGAUACUUUCACAGACAAACCAUAGAAAUGUGGUGAAGCUCUUUGGUUGUUGCCUUGAGACAGAAGUUCCUCUACUUGUUUACGAGUUCAUAUCAAAUGGAACUCUCUCGUUUCAUCUCCAUGGCCAAACUGAGAACCCUUUGUCAUGGAAAGAUAGGUUGAGGAUUGCACUUGAAACUGCAAGGGCCAUUGCAUAUCUACACUCCGCUGCUACAAUAUCAGUUUACCAUAGAGAUAUCAAAAGUGCAAAUAUACUACUUACUGAUACCUUGACAUCAAAACUGUCAGAUUUUGGAGCUUCAAGGUCGAUUGAAUUAGAUGAGACGGGAAUACUUACAGCUGUCCAGGGAACCUAUGGCUACCUUGAUCCUGAAUACUACUAUACUGGUCGGCUCACAGAGAAAAGCGAUGUUUAUAGCUUUGGUGUCAUCCUAGCAGAGUUACUAACAAGGGUGACGCCAGUUUUUUCUUCCCAUUCCUCAGAAGGCACGAGCCUAGCAUCACAUGUUGUAUCACUCAUAAGAGACAAUCGAUUCUUAGAUAUUCUAGAUGGACAAAUUGUUGAGGAAGGAGGGACUGAAGAUGCUGAAGUGGUCUCAAGACUCGUGGAAGCAUGCUUAAGUUUGAAAGGUGAAGAAAGGCCUACAAUGAGGCAGGUGGAGACAAUACUUCAAGAUGUGCAAAGCUCAAAGGCCCAUUACAAUGGCCAGACAAUAAGCGUGAACCAGAGUGCUCUAAAAGGCCAGCCAUGGAACAAAAACAAAGGAGGUGAAGGAACUAGAAUAUACAGUAUGGAGAAUGAGUUCAUCCAAUCAUCGGAAAUUCCAAGAUGA
rnacentral:rRNA from 1 species